GGAUUAGAUACCCUGGUAGUCCACGCCGUAAACGAUGGGCACUAAGUGUCGGCAGGUUACUGCCGGUGCCGCAGCUAACGCAGUAAGUGCCCCGCCUGGGGAGUACGGCCACAAGGUUGAAACUCAAAGGAAUUGACGGGGGCCCGCACAAGCGGUGGAGCAUGUGGUUUAAUUCGACGCAACGCGAAGAACCUUACCCAGGUUAGACAUGCUUGUAGUAAAAAACCGAAAGGUAGAUGAGUCCGAAAGGACAGCUUGCGCAGGUGCUGCAUGGCUGUCGUCAGCUCGUGCCG
rnacentral:rRNA from 1 species